GAUGAAGAACGUAGCGAAAUGCGAUAAGUAAUGUGAAUUGCAGAAUUCAGUGAAUCAUCGAAUCUUUGAACGCACAUUGCGCCCCCUGGUAUUCCGGGGGGCAUGCCUGUUCGAGCGUCAUUUCACCACUCAAGCCUCGCUUGGUAUUGGGCAACGCGGUCCGCCGCGUGCCUCAAAUCGACCGGCUGGGUCUUCUGUCCCCUAAGCGUUGUGGAAACUAUUCGCUAAAGGGUGCUCGGGAGGCUACGCCGUAAAACAACCCCAUUUCUAAGGUUGACCUCGGAUCAGGUAGGGAUACCCGCUGAACUUAAGCAUAUCAAUAAGCGGAGGA
rnacentral:misc_RNA from 1 species